rnacentral:rRNA from 1 species
UAGGGAAUCUUCGGCAAUGGGGGCAACCCUGACCGAGCAACGCCGCGUGAGUGAAGAAGGUUUUCGGAUCGUAAAGCUCUGUUGUAAGAGAAGAACGUGUGUGAGAGUGGAAAGUUCACACAGUGACGGUAACUUACCAGAAAGGGACGGCUAACUACGUGCCAGCAGCCGCGGUAAUACGUAGGUCCCGAGCGUUGUCCGGAUUUAUUGGGCGUAAAGCGAGCGCAGGCGGUUUAAUAAGUCUGAAGUUAAAGGCAGUGGCUUAACCAUUGUUCGCUUUGGGAACUGGUGAACUUGAGUGCAGAAGGGGGGAGUGGAAUUCCGUGUGGAGCGGUGAAGUGCGUGGAUAUAUGGGGGAGCGGGGGGGGCGAAAGCGGCUCUCUGGUCUGUAACUGACGCUGAGGCUCGAAAGCGUGGGGAGCAAACAGG